GUGAGGAAUAUUGGUCAAUGGGCGGAAGCCUGAACCAGCCAAGUAGCGUGCAGGAUGACGGCCCUAUGGGUUGUAAACUGCUUUUAUACAGGAAUAAAGUUAGCCACGUGUGGUUAUUUGUAGGUACUGUAUGAAUAAGGACCGGCUAAUUCCGUGCCAGCAGCCGCGGUAAUACGGAAGGUCCAGGCGUUAUCCGGAUUUAUUGGGUUUAAAGGGAGCGUAGGCCGUCUGUUAAGCGUGUUGUGAAAUGUAGUUGCUCAACAUAUGAAUUGCAGCGCGAACUGGCAGACGUGAGUGUGCGCAACGUAGGCGGAAUUCGUGGUGUAGCGGUGAAAUGCUUAGAUAUCACGAAGAACUCCGAUUGCGAAGGCAGCUUACGGGAGCACAACUGACGCUGAAGCUCGAAAGUGCGGGUAUCGAACAGGAUUAGAAACCCUUGUAGUCC
rnacentral:rRNA from 1 species